rnacentral:rRNA from 1 species
GUGCAGUCGAACGAAUCCCACUGUUGUAGCAAUACAGUGGUGGGGGAAGUGGCGAAAGGGGCAGUAAUGCGUGGGUAACCUACCUUGGGGACGUGGAUAGCCAUUCUAACGAGUGGGUAAUACGCGGCGAUUUGAUUGAGGGGCAUCCCUUGGUCAGGAAAUGAAUUUCGCCUCGAGAGGGGCUCACGUGAUAUUAGCUAGUUGGUAGGGUAACGGCCUACCAAGGCAAAGAUGUCUAGCGGGUGUGAGAGCACGACCCGCGCCACUGGCACUGAGACACUGGCCAGACACCUACGGGUGGCUGCAGUCGAGGAUCUUUGGCAAUGAGCGCAAGCUUGACCAAGCGACGCCGCGUGUGCGAUGAAGGCCUUCGGGUUGUAAAGCACUGUCGAGGGGGACGAAGCCGCAAGGUUGACCGAUCCCUGGAGGAAGCACGGGCUAAGUUCGUGCCAGCAGCCGCGGUAAGACGAACCGUGCGAACGUUGUUCGGAAUCACUGGGCUUAAAGGGCGCGUAGGCGGCUUGCCAAGUCAGUGGUGAAAUCCUGCAGCUUAACUGCAGAAGUGCCUUUGAUACUGGCGAGCUCGAGGGAGGUAGGGGUAUGUGGAACUUCUGGUGGAGCGGUGAAAUGCGUUGAUAUCAGAAGGAACGCCGGUGGCGAAAGCGACGUACUGGACCUCUUCUGACGCUGAGCGCGAAAGCUAGGGGAGCAAACGGGAUUAGAUACCCCGGUAGUCCUAGCCCUAAACGAUGGGUACUAGGUUGUGGACUAACAUGGGUUCACAGCAACAAAAGUGUAAGUACCCCGCCUGGGGAGUAUGGCGCAGGUGAAACUCAAGAAUUGA